rnacentral:rRNA from 1 species
AACGAACGCUGGCGGCAGGCCUAACACAUGCAAGUCGAGCGAGACCUUCGGGUCUAGCGGCGGACGGGUGAGUAACGCGUGGGAAUAUGCCCUUUGGUACGGGAUAGCCUCGGGAAACUGGGAGUAAUACCGUAUGUGCCCUUCGGGGGAAAGAUUUAUCGCCAAAGGAUUAGCCCGCGUUGGAUUAGGUAGUUGGUGGGGUAAUGGCCUACCAAGCCUACGAUCCAUAGCUGGUUUGAGAGGAUGAUCAGCCACACUGGGACUGAGACACGGCCCAGACUCCUACGGGAGGCAGCAGUGGGGAAUCUUAGACAAUGGGGGCAACCCUGAUCUAGCCAUGCCGCGUGAUCGAUGAAGGCCUUAGGGUUGUAAAGAUCUUUCAGCUGGGAAGAUAAUGACGGUACCAGCAGAAGAAGCCCCGGCUAACUCCGUGCCAGCAGCCGCGGUAAUACGGAGGGGGCUAGCGUUGUUCGGAAUUACUGGGCGUAAAGCGCACGUAGGCGGAUUGGAAAGUUGGGGGUGAAAUCCCGGGGCUCAACCUCGGAACUGCCUCCAAAACUAUCAGUCUAGAGUUCGAGAGAGGUGAGUGGAAUUCCGAGUGUAGAGGUGAAAUUCGUAGAUAUUCGGAGGAACACCAGUGGCGAAGGCGGCUCACUGGCUCGAUACUGACGCUGAGGUGCGAAAGCGUGGGGAGCAAACA